CAGACCUCUAAUCGGAAAAGACUACCCGCUGAGUUUAAGCAUAUCACUAAGCGGAGGAGAAGAAACUAACCAGGAUUUCCCUAGUAACGGCGAGCGAACCGGAAAGAGCCCAGCUUGAAAAUCGUGGUGCCUCGUACCUCGAAUUGUAGUCUGGAGAAGGUCCCUCUGCGACGCGCCGGACCCAAGUUCCCUGGAAAGGGACGUCAGAGAGGGUGACAACCCCGUCGAGUCCGGAAUGCGUCGCUCCACGAGGACCUGUCUGCGAGUCGGGCUGUUUGGGAAUGCAGCCCUAAGCGGGUGGUAAAUUCCAUCCAAGGCUAAAUAUUGGCAAGAGACCGAUAGCGAACAAGUACCGCGAGGGAAAGA
rnacentral:rRNA from 2 species